rnacentral:misc_RNA from 1 species
AUGAAGAACGUAGCGAAAUGCGAUAAGUAAUGUGAAUUGCAGAAUUCAGUGAAUCAUCGAAUCUUUGAACGCACAUUGCGCCCGCCAGUAUUCUGGCGGGCAUGCCUGUUCGAGCGUCACUUCAACCAUCAAGCCCCAGGCUUGUGUUGGGGACCUGCGGCUGCCGCAGGCCCUGAAAACCAGUGGCGGGCUCGCUGUCACACCGGGCGUAGUAGAUUUUAUCUCGCUCAGGGCGUGCUGCGGGUUCCGGCCGUUAAAAAGCCUUUUUUACCCAAGGUUGACCUCGGAUCAGGUAGGAAGACCCGCUGAACUUAAGCAUAUCAAUAAGCGGAGGA